rnacentral:pre_miRNA from 1 species
UUUAUACUCCCUCCGUCCGGAAUUACUUGUCAUCAAAAUGGAUGAAAAUGGAUGUAUCUAGAACUAAAAUACAUCUAGAUACAUCCAUUUCAAUGACAAGUAUUUCCGGACGGAGGGAGUACAAG